rnacentral:rRNA from 1 species
AACAGGAUUAGAUACCCUGGUAGUCCACGCCCUAAACGAUGUCGACUGGUUGUUGGGGAAGGCAACUUCCUUAGUAACGAAGCUAACGCGUGAAGUCGACCGCCUGGGGAGUACGGCCGCAAGGUUAAAACUCAAAGGAAUUGACGGGGACCCGCACAAGCGGUGGAUGAUGUGGAUUAAUUCGAUGCAACGCGAAGAACCUUACCUACCCUUGACAUGCCAGGAACCCUGCUGAGAGGCGGGGGUGCCCGAAAGGGAACCUGGACACAGGCGCUGCAUGGCUGUCGUCAGCUCGUGUCGUGAGAUGUUGGGUUAAGUCCCGCAACGAGCGCAACCCUUGUCACUAGUUGCCACGCAAGGGCACUCUAGUGAGACUGCCGGUGACAAACCGGAGGAAGGUGGGGAUGACGUCAAGUCCUCAUGGCCCUUAUGGGUAGGGCUUCACACGUCAUACAAUGGCGCAUACAGAGGGCUGCCAACCCGCGAGGGGGAGCCAAUCCCAGAAAGUGCGUCGUAGUCCGGAUUGUUCUCUGCAACUCGAGAGCAUGAAGUCGGAAUCGCUAGUAAUCGCGGAUCAGCAUGUCGCGGUGAAUACGUUCCCGGGUCUUGUACACACCGCCCGUCACACCAUGGGAGUGGGUUUCACCAGAAGCAGCUAGCCUAACCGCAAGGGGGGCGGCUACCACGGUGAGAUUCAUGACUGGGGUGAAGUCGUAACAAGGUAACC